GCGGAAGUGCCCGACUUUCCGCCCGCUGUGCGCGGGGUACGCCGGGACUUGUAGUUCUCUGCGGACAUAGCGGACCGGUUAAGCUGAGAAUGUUGGUGUGGUCUAAAUUAUACAAAGUUGAGUUUGUAAACCACAAAAGAGAAAAAAAAUACCAUAGGCAAUAAUAGGAGGAAGAGGUAAUGAAGAAAGAGGGGGUUAAGCAGAUUCCUGCAUUGUGCAGCAACAGGUCUUAAAGUCUAGUAGGACAGAUGAACAGGAAAUAAAAUACUUCAGUACAGUGUGGGAAGGACAGUGACAGAAUGCCUACGGUGCUAGCAGACAA